rnacentral:rRNA from 1 species
AUUGAACGCUGGCGGCAUGCCUUACACAUGCAAGUCGAACGGUAACGGGCCUUCGGGUGCCGACGAGUGGCGAACGGGUGAGUAAUGCAUCGGAACGUACCUUUCAGUGGGGGAUAACGUAGCGAAAGUUACGCUAAUACCGCAUAUUCUGUGCGCAGGAAAGCAGGGGAUCGCAAGACCUUGUGCUGAUUGAGCGGCCGAUGUCAGAUUAGCUAGUUGGUGAGGUAAAGGCUCACCAAGGCGACGAUCUGUAGCGGGUCUGAGAGGAUGAUCCGCCACACUGGAACUGAGACACGGUCCAGACUCCUACGGGAGGCAGCAGGGGGGAAUUUUGGACAAUGGGGGCAACCCUGAUCCAGCCAUGCCGCGUGAGUGAAGAAGGCCUUCGGGCUGUAAAGCUCUUUCGGCCGGGAAGAAAUCGUAUGGGCUAAUACCCUGUGCGGAUGACGGUACCGGCAUAAGAAGCACCGGCUAACUACGUGCCAGCCGCCGCAGUAAGAC